AGUAAAAUUGACAGUGUUAUUAAGUGUUAAUUUUUCAGAGACAUAUUUUUCAGUGUUCAUUAGUGUUAAUUAGUGUAACUUCGGGAGUUGUUUGAACAAACAUGUACACCCACGGUGUAAUUAAAACUCACAACCUAGUGUUUUAAGUGGGUGUGAAUGUACGAACUCUGGGGUGGAGUCAUUUACAUUUCCGGUCCUUCAGUUGAGAUUUUUGAAAAGAAGAUGGACGCCAUUGAAGUACAGCGUGGGAUAGUAAAAGGGUCAGCAAAAUGCUCAUCAAUGUCCAGUACCAUGGAGAAAAAAGUACCUCAAACUCUUGGUUUUUCUUUUCAAAGUUUAAUUCGAGAAGGCACAUCAAUCCACUGGUGCAAAAGAAGAGAACACCUCUGCCAUAGGAGAUUCAGCAGAAAAAGGCCAAACAGAUGGUCCAGGAGGUUCUGGAGAAGAGUUAAAUGGGAGAGGAAAUAAUGGAGGAGUAUAGUAGAGCACCUUGACACACUGUACAAGAAGGCAUCUUCUGAAUAUCCUGGUCCAUGGAAGGAUACCACUACGAAGUCAAAGAAAAAGAUAUGCACUCGGCAUUGUGACUGUUUCCUAAUCUCAGGGAUCCUUACUCCACCAAUGGCUAUGAACACUUCUACGAUGCUGGAAGAGGGACGGGCUAUCUGGCAUGGCGCCUAAAGCAACGAGUGUCGCAGCGUUUGGUCAAGAACAGCUCGGGAGCCUUGGAAUACAUGAACACCAUGAGCUUUUUAAGGAGGUAGACUUUCUAAUGAGGAGACACAGCACUCAAAAAAUCCUCCAUAGAAAUGCAUGGGGUUAGUUUGUAACAUAUGGUGUUGUCUACAUAUAUCACACCCCCCUCCGUGGCAAAACGUGGACAUGUAAAUAC